GGAGCACACGGUGGGCCUCUCUGGUUUGGGGGCCUGGGACGUGGCGGAGCCCUGCAGCUUCUGUGCGGCCUGUUCUGGGCGUCGCGUUGAAACGCCAGCCAGUUCCCCAAGUAAGCUCCCUGCACACACGCCUGAUAGCCUGUUGGUUCCGUCCUUCUGCGGGAUUUUCACUACCACUCUCUAACUCACACACAGCAGAAAGAGCAUACGGGAGAGAUGAAGCAGUCCACUCCAAGAACAUUCUCAUCCUACGGAUUACGAGUCCCCCUGGGAUUACAGGAGUGUUGAAGAAAUGUUGUGACACAUCAGAACACCGCGAAAUACAUGGACACUUUCAAAUCAUGGAAGACUCAAGAGUCCUUGUUUUUGCCCAGUAUUAUAAACUGAGUUACAUAAAGGCAGAGCAAAUGCUAAAGCAAACUGUCCAGAAGGAAGGACAGCAGUAAGUGGAGAGACGUUAUUGCAAACAAGCACCUGGCAACAGCUGUGUUAGUUGCCCACCAGGUAUUUUUGAAAAAAGUACUCUGUGAAAAACAGAAACUGCAAGCAAGACAGAUACCAGGAUUAGGGAUCACGGUGACUUCUACCAUCGCUGGAUACUCCCAAAAGGGUUCUCGAGACAGCAGCUGUGUCUGCCCUGCUUUGGCAUUCUUUCCCAGGCAUGGCGACCGAUUUGAAAAAAGAGUGAUGGCUGUGUCCAGUGGCUCAUGCCUAGAAUCCCAGCACUAUGGGAGGCCGAGACAGGCAGAUCACUUGAGCCCAGGAGUUUUAGACCAGCCUGUGCAACAGGGUGAAACCUCGUUUCUACCAAAAAUACAAAAAUGCAUGGGCGUGGUGGCACAUGCAAAUAGUUCCAGCUAAUCAGGAUGCUGAGGUGGGAGGAUCACUUGAGCUCUGGCAAGUGGAGCCUGCAGUGAGCUGAGAUCACCACCACACUCCAGUCUGGGCAACAGAAUGAGAUCCUGUCUCAAUAAAAAGAAAAAAGCGUUGAUGUGGUUUGGCUCUGUGUCCCCACCCAAAUCUCACCUUGUAGCUCUCUUAAUUCCCACAUGUUGUGAGAGGGACCCAGUGGGAGAUGAUUGAAUUACGGGAGCCAGUCUUUCCCAUACCGUUGUCAUGGUAGUGAAUAAGCCUCGAGAUCUGAUGGUUUGAUAAGGAGAAACUUGUUUCGCUUGGCAUUUAUUCUCUCUUUGCCUGCUGCCAUGCAUGUAAGAUGUGAAUUUUGCUCCACCUUGACUUCUGCCAUGAUUGUGAGGCUUCCCCAGCCAUGUGGAACUGUAAUUAAACCUCUUUCUUUUGUAAA
ensembl:lncRNA LINC01446 long intergenic non-protein coding RNA 1446